rnacentral:rRNA from 1 species
GACAGAGGGUGCAAACGUUGCUCGGAAUUACUGGGCGUAAAGCGCGUGUAGGCGGACCACCAAGUCGGACGUGAAAGCCCUGAGCUCAACUCAGGAACUGCAUCCGAAACUGGCGGUCUGGAGUAGUGGAGAGGAAAGCAGAAUUCCUGGCGUAGAGGUGAAAUUCGUAGAUAUCAGGAGGAACACCGGUGGCGAAGGCGGCUUUCUGGACACUUACUGACGCUGAGACGCGAAAGCGUGGGGAGCAAACAGG